GCCGGCAUAGCUCAAUUGGUAGAGCAACUGACUUGUAAUCAGUAGGUUGGGGGUUCAAGUCCUCUGGCCGGCACCA
rnacentral:tRNA from 1 species